UGUAUUUUUAAUCACACCUGGUGAAGACCCUUAGGAGAGAGGACCCCAGAGCUGCUGCAGGAAGCGGUGGCAUUAGGGUCCCCGACCUGUGCUUGACAUCUGGCUGACCCGGCCCACUGAGGAAACCCAAGCUGGAUCUGGGCCACUUCUCUGAAGCCACGUCCCUGCCGAGUGCAAGCCCAGGACCGAACUUGCUGUCCUGGCUGAGUGCGCCCAGCUAACCAGCGCCCCACACGGCUGGGCGGGGCGCGCUGCUCACCUUGCUGUCCACUCCGCCUGAGGCUGGGCCCCAGGGUGUCCAUGUGGCCGGUGGCUUCUAGGAGCCUGGAUGCGGCAGGCUGAGUCCACGCCACCCCUCCGAUGUGACAGCCACCACUGAGCACACAGGGGACACAGGGUGGAGGCAGGUGCUGGCCAGAGCUCCAGAGCCCAGGGCUUGAGGGUGUGGACGGAUGGCGACUUGAAGUUCAGACCUGCUGCUUCCUGUUGUGGGAGCUGGGGAAAGUUCUCUGCCCCUUGGAGUCUCUAGUUCCUCUCUGUCACUGACAAAACUCCUGAGGUCACUGUGAGGGUGAAAUGAGAAAAUAGAGACACUGUGUGACAGUGGAGCCCAUGGUGUGGACCUGACUGGCUUGGCAGCUACACUGGGCACGGCCCACUUCCGGGGUCUGUGUGUGUAGUGGGGUAGGACUUGGGCACUGUAUGCUGUCUGUCCCCAGCCCCUUCCUCUCUGGUGCUGCUUCCUGCUCUGCUUCCUGUGCACCAUGAGGUGAGGAGCUCUGCUCUGCCACACCCUUCCACCUUGAUGUUCCUGCCCUGGAGCAGCCACCGUGGACUGGAUCCCCUGAAACCAUGAGCCAAAGAACCAGUUCCUCCUUGGAACUCUGGGUAUCGGUAUUGUGUUCCAGUGAUGGAAAGCUGACUGAUACAACUGCUGUUCUGACAGGGGAGGUGGCCACACAGGGCUGCUGUAGGCACAGGGACAUGUGGAGAGAGGGGUGCAGUGCCUGGGAGGGGACCUGGAAUGUGGAACACCUGUGGAGCCUGAGGGCACAGCCGGAGCAAAGCCUUGUGCUGCUCAGCUCCCAGCGUGAGUUGGAAGUGGAACAGCUGGACACAAAGGGACCCGGGCUGAAGGCAGAGAGCUGACCAAGGAGGGCUGUCCUUGCCUCCCAUGUCUAGGCUUUUGGUGUGUGGAACUGUCUCCUCAUUUCUUCUCAAGAACAGGAGAAGUAGCACUAGCUAC
ensembl:lncRNA